CCUACGGGAGUCAGCAGUGGGGAAUAUUGGGCAAUGGGCGCAAGCCUGACCCAGCAACGCCGCGUGAAGGAAGCAGGCUUUCGGGUUGUAAACUUCUUUUCUCAGGGACGAAGCAAGUGACGGUACCUGAGGACUAAGCCACGGCUAACUACGUGCCAUCAGCCGCGGUAAUACGUAGGUGCCAAGCGUUAUACGGAUUUACUGGGUGUAAAGGCCUUGUAGGCGGGAAGGCAAGUCAGAUGUGAAAACCAUGGGCUCAACCUAUGGACUGCAUGUGAAACUGUUUUUCUUGAGUACUGGAGAGGCAGACGGAAUUCCUAGUGUAGCGGUGAAAUGCGUAGAUAUUAGGAGGAACACCAGUGGCGAAGGCGGUCUGCUGGACAGCAACUGACGCUGAGGCGCGAAAGCGUGGGGAGCAAACAGGAUUAGAUACCCUGGUAGUC
rnacentral:rRNA from 1 species